AAUAAACCUUUCUGCAAGUGAUCCCGAAAUUUAGACUCUUAGCUGACAAAAGAGAAGAGGAAAAAAAAAAGAAAGAGAGAGAGAGGGUCCAUAACGAGCCAGAAAUGCCUCUGGGACAGGAGAGGAGCCUGCUGGUUAGCAAGCUAACGUGGGAGCCGCACUUGUCCUUGCUCCCUUCAUAGAACCAUAGAAACACAGAAUGGCUCGGGUUGGAAGGGAUUAAAGCCCCUUUAGUUCCAACCCCCUGCCAACAGCACCUGGAGCAGUUUGCCAGGGCGAUGAAGCAGAGCCUGCUGCUGCCUUGCUCCCAACACCCCGAGGUGACCGUCACUGCCUGGUGCAGCCUGCACGCUCCCGCUCCAGAGCUGUUACAGGAACCAGUUGCAGCAGAGAAGGUGCUCGUCUCGUGGUGCUGCGGACAGUACCUCUCGGGGGAAGGACACCUGGGAUCUGCAGAGACCCACGUAUGCCUUGUGGUGGCUCCAGAAGCCCCCAGCCCCAAAUAAACUAAAAAUAAACUAAAGCCAAGGAUAGAAGAAUGGGGUCUUGCUUAAUCUCAUUGGUGAUUUCUAAAUAAAACAAUCGUUAUUAUUAAAGCCAGGAAUGGAAGAAUGGGGGCUUGCUUAACCGCAUUAAAAGUAGAUAUUGCUGUGCCUUUGCUUACUACUGUGCAAAUUAACCAAAACAAGGAGUCUCAGGGCCCCUCACAGAGGAUGUUUCCUGACAAAAAUGGGGAACCUGUCUCAAAAACCAGCUGAGACUGACCUUGUGGUUUGGACAAGAGCCAAGAAGCAGCUGAGUCUGUACAAAGGCAGGGAGGGGGGUCAACUAGCGGUGAUGAAGAGUUAUCAGCCUUCAUCCCCACGACCCCCUGAUGACCAUCACCAGAAGGCACUGCGCAAGCGCAGAUGGGAGGAGUUUAUGGAAAUGACUUCUUGGAGCUAAUUUUAAUUCAAAUCGGGGAUAGGUUAUGCAUAUGUAUAGGCGUACUGGGAAACUUCAUGCAUAGGUAACUCUUUACUGCAUAUAACCAAGGCAAGUUGCCACGUUGGGGUGUGCAGGCCUUUGGGAGCUAUCCCGCAUGCGCCUGCUGUCGAAAUAAACCACAUACCUACUUUAUAACUCA